UACGAAGGGGGCUAGCGUUGUUCGGAAUACUGGGCGUAAAGCGCACGUAGGCGGACUAUUAAGUCAGGGGUGAAUCCGGGACUCACCCGGAACUGACCUUUCGAUACUGGUACGUUCUCGAAGUCCGGGAAGAGGUGAGUGGUGAAAUUCCGGAGUGUAGGAAGGUGAAAUUCGUAGAGUAUUACGGUAGGAACACCAAGUGGCUGAAGGCGGCA
rnacentral:rRNA from 1 species